CUUGGCAACGGCGCCAAACAAUCGCCGCCAUCUUCUUUUCAGCCCGGGUAGUUCUUUGCUGCUGGGUCGGGCCGUUCCGCGGCGCGGAGGCGGGCGCGAAGGAGAACUACAGCUCCCGGCAGCCCCUGCGCCCCUUGGCAACGGCGUCGGGCCGGGUCGGGCCGAGCCGCCGGCGGCCGCGCCGGGGUCUCUGCGGCCUGGGGGUCCGCGCCGCCGCUCCCGCCACGCUGAUCGGGGAGCGCCAAGCUCCGGCGGGCACGCAGAGGGCCGCCCGGACUGGCGGGGCCAGCCAGGAUUCUCCAUGGUGAAGAUGGUCAGCCAUGGAAAACAUAUCGCAAUAAUAGUCCAACAGCUUAACAAAUUUAACCCUGAAAAUCAGAGCAUGGAGGAUUUCUUGAAUGAAUCAGCCAAGAUGCUGCAGACUCUUAACAUGACAGAAGAAAAAUUCGUGUUGGAUACACUAGCUGGAUGCAUAGAAUAUAAACCCUUAUUGGAUGUAGUAGUCAAUGCCUUUUUUGUUCAGGAUGGGAGAUACUGCCUGUUUUCUGAGCGUAAUCUCUAUGUAGUUAUUUGUUACCUGGCUACUUUUCAACUAGAAGAGCUCGGUCUUCAGCACUUCAGCAGAAUUGUGAAAUCUCAGGACACUGCAAAAAUGCAAAAGUUUCUUAGAUUCUUCUUCAAUGCCUUGUAUUUGAACACGUGGAUAAAAGAUGAAUGGAGUCGUUUCUACGAUUCAGAGUAUGUAAAAGAGAACUGGAUUGAUCUACUGCUAAGGUGGCAGCCAAAAGUACAGCAACUGAUUGAACAGCUCACAGAUAAAUUAAACAACGGUACUACUACUGUCAAGACUUCGAUGGUCACUCACCCAAAGGAAUUUAAUUUGACUGUGCCCAGACCACGUGCCAUUCCUAUACCUCUGCCAAUACCAGUACUGGAAAAAAGGCCACCGGUUCCUCCAAGCACCUACAAACCUCCAAAGGAAAAAAAGCAGCUGGAGGAAAUCAAAACAAAAAAUCGCCGAAAAGCAGAAGAUCUGCUCCUGAAAGCAAAUGCUGACCAGUUCAGGUGUGCAACCAUGAAGCCUGAAAAGAGAGAGAACACACAUGACAGUAUGAACAGUAAACCGGCAUUCCAGGCUCAAAAGAUCCAAAGCAAGGUUGACAAUAUACCUAUUAAAUUAAAUGCUGCAGCUAUUUUAAGAGAGGGUGCCCUCUAUCAGCGGAAAAUGGAACAGGAGCUCAAGAGAAUUGAAAAUUUGCUACGAGGGGCUGGAGACCCAUCUGAAUUCUUGAAAUGGCAAAAACAGAUGCGUGGAAAAGAUUUGGAAGAACAGCUGGCUGAAAUAGAGUGUAGGAGGCUUCAAGGGAAACUGAGUCACGAAGAGGCAGUUCUAGCCCAUCAGAAUGUAAUUCAAGAAAAUAAGAAGAAAGCUGACCUAAUGAGAGAAGAGAAAGCAGAGCUGAUGCAGCAAUAUGCAGAGAAACGUCUACAGGAACAGAAAGAAAUGAGAGAGCUGGUGGAGCAAGUCGUGGAAGGACACAAGAAUGCAAAGCAAGCGAAAGUAAAACUCCAGAAAUACAAACAGCAGAUAGUUCAGAAAGUUUGUGAAGAAAAUGGAGAACUUCUUCAGCAAGCUUUAGAAGAAGAGGAAGAGAAGCUUAGGAAAAGAUAUGAAUUAAUUCAACAAAUACGAGCUAUUGAGUCUUUACCAAGCAUCAGACAUAAGUUUGUUGAUUUAACAGAGACUGGGGGCCAUGGUUUAAUUUGUGAAAUGUCAAUAGUGGAACUACGUGAACGCCUCGCUCUACUCAGAGAAGCACAGAAGGCAGCAGAGGAAGAGAAGAGAGAGCAGAUAAUUCAUGAAAAACAAGCUAAGGAACAACUUCUUCUAGACAAACUGGACCAGAUUUCCCUAUUCAGAGCAGAACGUGGACGAGCAGCUGCUUUAAAGCAGGAAGAAAAGAAAAGAAAGUCCCAGUCUGGUGAAAGGCCUAUGAAAGAUGAACGCAUUUUAAACCUGGAGAAAAGGAUUGCAGAAAAAACAAUGGAGCGUAAAAAGCAAGCAGGACUAUUAAAGAUUACGACCCAGAAAACCAGCAUCUCAUCAAGGAAGGUCCAGGGGUUACAUAAGGAGAAAAGCUCUGCAAUAGACCUGCUGUUCACAGACCUUUGCUCAACUGUCAGUGCUGGCAAGGGGGGCAGAGGUAGAUGGUGCCAUACAUGACUGGCAAUAGCAACGCCUUGCUUCCUUACAUAGGCAGUUUCUCCAAAUCACAGCCUUGACCUCACCUCUUGUCACACAUUCUGCUACCACAGAGUAGGACUCAUCCAUACGACACCUAGCUUCCCACUUUUAUUACCAUACACUCAUCCCAUCAAAACAGCACCUUUCCCCCUGUCUCUAACUCUUGUCUUUCUCAGCUUCCUAUCACACACAUCCCAUUGCACCAAACUGGGAUGCUCAGCCCCUCUCUCACCCAAGACAGGUUACAGUUUAUCAUUGCCAAGGUUUUUACCUUGCCUUUCCCUCAGCCUGGUCCCACAACAUGGGAUGGCAACACCAGUAGGCCUACAGGCUUUGUGCUGCUUCACACGGAUUGUGUUUCCUUGGCAAGUGUCUAAAGACAAGCGGUGAGGAACUGCUGCUCCUGAUGCCACCUCUGCCAUUGCCUCAUACAUGCCUAACAUUUAGAAGUGGUUCACAUACCAGCAGCAGUAUAUGUGCCACAGCCUAUGGAACACUGAACAGUCAUGAUGGAUCACUUUUUAAAAGCUGUACUAGCCCAAUGUAGAAUUAGAACCAAAUCUCCCAAUCCAUUAAAAUAAUAAUAACUCUUUACCUAUUUCGUGAGAAAGUUAUAUGAAGCUGAAUUCAAUGAAGAAAACUGUAUUUUUUAAGUAUGUAUAGUUUAAAAACCAAGAUAGUGCAAUUUUUCAGAGUAUCAAUGUUUGCUGCCUUCAGAAUCCCCAUUUCAGGCAAGCAAAACAUGUAGGUGCUUAUACAGACAACUAGGCUCUAUCCUUUUUAGCAAAGAAAACAAUGAAGACCUAUUUGAAGAAAGGAUUUCCUAAACUGGGAUGGCUUUUGGAACUGAGGUUUUGAAUGCAUGCUUAAACACUUUGCUGAAUGGAAUCCAGAGUAAAGUAGAAGCAAUUAAUGCAGACUUCAAAGGAAAGCAGCCAUAUAACUACACGUGAGACAUUUUUAAAAUAUACAAAGAUAAAUUAUAUAUUCAGAACUGGAACUUUUGACUACCUGAUGUGGGUCUGUAUGAGUGCUCUGGUGUCAUAUGAAUGAGCAGAAAAGCCAGGGUGUGAAAGUUAUUUUGAUGUUAGAUUUUGUCUUGUUCUUCAGCUUAGCUUUACACAGUAAGUCUCUUAAGAUGUCAGUGUUUUUGUUUAUGUUCCUCAGAAAUGCUAAGACAUCUGUAAAAAAAAAAAAAAAAAAGAAAAAACAAUAGAAAAAAUUAAAGGUUACUAAAUUAUUUAGCUGUUUUGGUGUAUCUUCCAUCCAUGCUGUUCAGCUCUGCAUGACCCUACCGAAUGUUACUACAGGGAAGUGGCUCAAUUCUGGUCAGAUAUGGUCAGCAGCAUCUUUAUUGCAGUUGAACUGCAUAUUGCUGAAAAUGUUGUUAAAUGUGACUACAGGAGAAAAUUCCUUCCUUAGUUAUAAUGCAAUAGUUAUCUGGCAUUCAGUUUGUACUGCUACCUUUUAGGUUCCUCAAGAAGUAGAAAAAAAGUGACACUAAUCCCUUGUAUUAAAGUUCCAGAUUGUGGCUUCAGUUACAUUUGUGAUGGCCCUUUGGGCCCAAUGGGUUUGUGCUGAUACAAGUCAAGGUAACAUUUAUUGAUAAAUCACUGUCAUCUUCUUAAUAAAACAGAAUUUAUAUUGCAGUUUGGGAAACUAACCAUAAGAAAAGCUACCAUUAAUGAAAAAUACUAUUUUUCUACCAUUUUAAGCAAAAAAUCAGCUGAAAAAGUAGCAGUUUUUCUGAGAUUUUUUCAGAAUGCUUCCUUGUGAACCCAGCUUUUGAAUAAGCAAACCGCUAGAGUCUGAUAGGAUUUGUGCAACUAUUAAUUUGUGGCUUCAAGAAUAAGCUGUUGGCAAAGAAAGAACGUAAGGUUGCAAACCAUCCAGAUGUAGUUUUACCUUUACUUAACAUUUUGUGGAGUGUUACAGCUGUGUUUAAUUCAUCUAAAACUGGAGAACCCACUCGAGUUCUUUUCUAUUCGUCAUGUUAGGUUUGAUGAUGACAAGUUUCCCAAUCACAUUAGCAAAUAAACUGUGUUGACAGCCAGCCAGAUUAUCAAACAGAAGUUCAGGGUAUCCUUUAAAGAGAACCAGUGUAUUACCUGCAGUCUGAUCACCUGUGUGUCUUUCCUGCAGGAUUCUUUGCAAUUGAACCAUUGGAACGAACUGGAAAAGAGUCGGGAAAGACAGUUCAAGAACCUUCAACGUGGCUUCAGGGCCAGAGAAACAGCCAGAAAAUGGCUGCCUAUAAGGCAGCAAGAAGUGGAGC